rnacentral:misc_RNA from 1 species
UAGUUAGUGUUGGUAUUCACUUCCUUCUCGAACACCAUGCAAUAAACAUCGCAAGCGUUAGGGAUUGUCGAUUUAUCUGUGCGAAUAUGCGCAAACUUGGGCGAACCAUCUGGCGCAUACGAACACAUUCUACUAUCGAAAUGACCGGGACGUGGGUCAGAACCUCUACUGCAGACCGGGUGGUGCUGUCACCUGCGAUGUUGCCGGUCAG